CUAAUGCUCAAAUGCCCACUCCUGCUCUCCACCACUCCAGCCAACCCCAUCCUGAAUCAGGCUUCCUGGCCUUUACCUGGAUGAUUUCCACGCAAGCACUUCUGCAGCGCAGCUUUCACACUCUUCACCGAGGGAACUUGGCCACAUUCAAACCCAGCCAUGUCAUUCCUCUGCUUUCACCUCUUCUAUGGUUCCCCAGUGCCCUGAGGACACAGUCCGAAUCCUUAGCACCUUACAAAGGUGGGGUCAUCUAUCCUCUGCUGACCUGCCAGCCUCAUGUCCAAUCAUUGCCCUUCUGCAUCCUGACCCUGGGUAAUGAUGACUUGUCUGCAUUUCCUGAAGAGAUCGGAUUUGCCAGAACUACACCUUCCAUGCACAUCAUAGGAAGAUGGCGCCUUAUCUUGUUUGGAGCCUUACCCAGAUUUGCCACCAUUUUGAAAAACUACAUACUUCAUGGCAAAUCUUCUCAUGGGACUUGAGAGGUGUACACUUCUCGUUGUUUUAUUGCGUCUGCUAGCAUGGCAUUGUCAACAGAAGUAUUUACAAUUUGAAAUAAUGAGCUGGAAGCGGUGGCUCACACCUGUAGUCCCAGCACUUUGGGAGGCCGAGACAGGCAUAUCACGAAGUCAGGAGAUCAAGACCAUUCUGGCCAACAUGGUGAAACCUUAUCUCUACUAAAAAUACAAAAAUUAGCCAAGCAUGGCGGUUCAUGCCUGUAGUCCCAGCUACUCGGGAGGCUGAGGCAGGAGAAUCACUUGAACCUGGGAGGUGGAGGUUGCAGUGAGCCGAAAUCACAGCACUGCACUCCAGCCUGGCGACAGAGACUCCAUCUUAAAAAAUCACUUUAAAUUACUUUUGUUAUGCAUUAAUUAUUAUUAUUUUUUGAGACAACGUCUUGCUCUGUCACCCAGGCUGGAGUGCAGUGGUGCGAUCUCAGCUCACUGCAGCCUCUGCUGCCUCAGGCUCCUGAGUAGCUGGGAUUACAGGCACCCACCACGGCCCCCCUUCCAUGCCCCGGGACCUUGUAGGACACUUCUAGAUCUGGCCACAAGGUGGAGCAUGGCGGCUGCAGCACUGUGCUGGGGGCCCGGCUGCUGAGGAGCAUGGACCUGCACCCAGUGACGUGUCUGUGCAUCUAGAGACCCAGAGGGCUGUGGUUGACUUGCAGUGCUGACCCCAGCCCCACACUGGGAUUGCCUGGGUCUCUCAGGUAUCACUGAGAAGCUGGAUAAAGAGAGCUGGGACUGCCACCUCAGCCCACUAAAGUCUCACUGUUUUACAGGUGAGGAGACUGAGGCCCAGAGAAGGAAGUCACAUGCUGAGGUCAUCGACUAAUCAGUGGCUGAGCUGGGCUUGAAUCCAGAUUUUUUGUGCUGUGGGCCCUCUGCUUUUCCUGUGGAGAGGGGCUUCUCCCACCUGGGGAGGGGGCCCCUGUUGUAUAGGAGAGGCAGGGGAUUAAAGAUGGCCUGAGCGAGGUUA
rnacentral:lncRNA from 13 species